ACUCUCAGCAACGGAUAUCUUGGCUCUUGCAACGAUGAAGAACGCAGCGAAAUGCGAUACGUAGUGUGAAUUGCAGAAUUCCGCGAAUCAUCGAGUUUUGAACGCAAGUUGCGCCCGAGGCUUGUCCGAGGGCAUUUCCGCUAGAGCGUCA
rnacentral:rRNA from 1 species